GACGAACGCUGGCGGCGUGCUUAACACAUGCAAGUCGAACGGAUUUAUGAUGAAACCUAGUGAUUCAUAAGUUAGUGGCGGACGGGUGAGUAACGCGUGGAUAACCUGCCUUAUACCGGGGGAUAACACUUAGAAAUAGGUGCUAAUACCGCAUAAGCGCACAGAGCCGCAUGGCUUGGUGUGAAAAACUCCGGUGGUAUAAGAUGGAUCCGCGUCUGAUUAGCUAGUUGGUGAGGUAAGGGCUCACCAAGGCGACGAUCAGUAGCCGGCCUGAGAGGGUGAACGGCCACACUGGGACUGAGACACGGCCCAGACUCCUACGGGAGGCAGCAGUGGGGAAUUUUGGACAAUGGGCGCAAGCCUGAUCCAGCAAUGCCGCGUGAGUGAAGAAGGCCUUCGGGUUGUAAAGCUCUUUUGUCAGGGAAGAAACGGCUGGGGCUAAUACCUCUGGCUAAUGACGGUACCUGAAGAAUAAGCACCGGCUAACUACGUGCCAGCAGCCGCGGUAA
rnacentral:rRNA from 1 species